UACGUAGGGUGCAAGCGUUAUCCGGAAUUAUUGGGCGUAAAGAGCUCGUAGGCGGUUUGUCGCGUCUGCUGUGAAAACUGGGGGCUCAACCCCCAGCCUGCAGUGGGUACGGGCAGACUAGAGUGCGGUAGGGGAGAUUGGAAUUCCUGGUGUAGCGGUGGAAUGCGCAGAUAUCAGGAGGAACACCGAUGACGAAGGCAGAUCUCUGGGCCGUAACUGACGCUGAGGAGCGAAAGCAUGGGGAGCGAACAGG
rnacentral:rRNA from 1 species